UACGAAGGGGGCUAGCGUUGCUCGGAAUCACUGGGCGUAAAGGGUGCGUAGGCGGGCUCGCCAGUCAGGGGUGAAAUCCCACGGCCCAACCGUGGAAGUGCCUCUGAUACUGCGGGCCUCGAGGGGGAUAGGGGCGUGCGGAACUUCCGGUGGAGCGGUGAAAUGCGUAGAUAUCGGAAGGAACACCGGUGGCGAAAGCGGCGCGCUGGAUCCCUACUGACGCUGAGGCACGAAAGCCAGGGGAGCAAACGGG
rnacentral:rRNA from 1 species